rnacentral:lncRNA from 1 species
UUUUUCAUUUCUUCAUCUUUUUACUUUCAAUCUAUGUGUGUAGUUAUUUUCUUUUUAAAAAUAUUUUAAGUUUUAGAUGGACCCAAGAUCUUAAUUUUAUUUAUUUAGUUUUAUGUGGUGCUGAGGAUUGAACCCAGUGCCAGACAUGUGUGAGGCAAGGGCUCUACCACUGAGCUACACCCUGUAGUUAUUUCCUUGUAGACAACUAUUAUGGUUUUGAUCUGGAAUGUCCUCCACAGUUAAUGUGUACGGAGAUGGGGCCUCUAGCCACUGAUUAAUGGAUUGAUCUGUUGGUGCUUAAAUGGACCGUUGGGUGGUGGGGCCUAGUUGGGGGAAAUAGUUCACAGGAAGCAUGUUCUAAAGAAUUUUUUAAAAAAAUCUUUUCUCCGGCAUAACUCAGGCCCACAGCAAUGAAGUCGGUCAAUCAGUCAAUCGUGGACAAAAUCUUCUGAAACCAUGAGCCAAAAUAAAUCUUUCCUUCUCUAAAUAUUCUUGUUAGGUAUUUUGGUCACAGUGAUGAAAGGUAACUAACACAAUAGACAAUCCUGGUUUUUUCAUCCAUCUGGCAAUCUGUGCCUUUGGAUUGGAUAGUUUAUUUCACUUACAUCUAAGUAGUUACUAAGAGGAAAGACUUACUUUUGCCAUUUAUUCAUUUUCUGUGUCGUAGCUUUUUGGUCUGACAUUCCUCCAUCAUUGCCUUCCUUUGUAUCUAGUUGACUUCCUUUCCCUUUUCUUUGCCUUUUGUGAAUAUUCUAGAUAUUUUAUUUGUUGUCACCAUGGAAAAUAUAUUAUAAACAUCCUACAUUCAUUUAUUUAUUUUUAAUUUAUUAUUUUUUAUAUUUAUUUUUUAGUUGUAGUUGGACACAAUACCUUCAUUCUAUUUAUUUACUUUUAUGUGGUGCUGAGGAUCAAACCCAGGGCCUUGCAUGCACUAGGCAAGUGCUCUACUGCUGAGCCAAAAACCCAGCCCCUAUUUAUUUAUUUUUAAUGUAUUUUUUAGUUG